AUUGAACGCUGGCGGCAGGCCUAACACAUGCAAGUCGAACGAGUGGCGGACGGGUGAGUAAUGUCUGGGAAACUGCCUGAUGGAGGGGGAUAACUACUGGAAACGGUUGAUAAUACCGCAUACCCUCGGCUGGGCCGAGAUGGGAUUAGCUAGUAGGUGGGGUAAAGGCGCACCUAGGCGACGAUCCCUAGCGGGUCUGAGAGGAUGACCAGCCACACUGGAACUGAGACACGGUCCAGACUCCUACGGGAGGCAGCAGUGGGGAAUAUGGGACAAUGGGCGCAAGCCUGAUGCAGCCAUGCCGCGUGUAUGAAGAAGGCCUUCGGGUUGUAAAGUACUUUCAGCGGGGAGGCGUUACCCGCAGAAGAAGCACCGGCUAACUCCGUGCCAGCAGCCGCGGUAAUUC
rnacentral:rRNA from 1 species